rnacentral:rRNA from 1 species
GAUGAACGCUAGCUACAGGCUUAACACAUGCAAGUCGCGGGGCAGCAUGGGGGUUGCUUGCAAUCCCUGAUGGCGACCGGCGCACGGGUGAGUAACGCGUAUCCAACCUGCCCUUCACCACGGGAUAACCCGGCGAAAGUCGGACUAAUACCGUAUGUUGUCCAUUGACGGCAUCCGAUUUGGACGAAAGGCUUUGCGGUGAGGGAUGGGGAUGCGUCCGAUUAGCUCGACGGCGGGGUAACGGCCCACCGUGGCAACGAUCGGUAGGGGUUCUGAGAGGAAGGUCCCCCACACUGGAACUGAGACACGGUCCAGACUCCUACGGGAGGCAGCAGUGAGGAAUAUUGGUCAAUGGGCGGAAGCCUGAACCAGCCAAGUAGCGUGCAGGAUGACGGCCCUAUGGGUUGUAAACUGCUUUUAUGCGGGGAUAAAGGGGCCCACGUGUGGGCUUUUGCAGGUACC